rnacentral:rRNA from 1 species
GUCCUCUUGAUUAUAAUUAGAGGUCUGACCUGCCCUAUGAAUAUUAAAUGGCCGCAGUAAUUUGACUGUGCUAAGGUAGCAUAAUAAUUAGUUUCUUAAUUAGAAGCUUGUAUGAAUGGUUUGAUGAAAAAAAUACUGUCUUUUUAGUAAAUUUAGAAUUUUAUUUUUAAGUAAAAAAGCUUAAAUGAUUUCAGGGGACGAGAAGACCCUAUAGAAUUUUAUAAAUUUUUAAUUAUUAUUUUUAGAAUUAACUUUUUUGAUUAAUUAAUUUAUUUGAUUGGGGUGAUUGAAAAAUUUAAUGAACUUUUUUUAUUAUUAAACAAUAAUUAUUGAAUAGCUGAUCCAUAAUAAUGAUUAAAAGAAUAAAUUACCUUAGGGAUAACAGCGUAAUAACUUUUUAAAGUUCUUAUUGAAAAAGUUGUUUGCGACCUCGAUGUUGGAUUAGAAUUUCUUUUUGGUGCAGUAGCUAAAAAAGUAGGUCUGUUCGACCUUUAAAAUUCUACA